GGGGGCGACUGGUUUCGACAUGAUAGCUUUGCGAGAGGAAGCAUGCGGUGGUCUCCUCGCCACCUUAAACAGGGGUACCGUCAAAAUUAAUUGACAACAAGCGUUUCGCUCUCGCCGCCUAGAAGUGCGGCGACGUCAACUCGGGAUGGUUCCCCGCUCCCGACGCGACGCCAUUUUGGGGAAUGCUCCUGCGAACGUAGCCGGUAUA
rnacentral:tmRNA from 1 species